AUUAGAUACAGAACCAACGCCCUCCGGGGCUUUCUGGUGAAUCACAAUAACUCCGCGGAUCGCACGGCCUUGCGCCGGCGAUGGUUCAUUCAAAUUUCUGCCCUAUCAACUUUCGACGGCUGGGUCUUGGCCAGCCGUGGUGACAACGGGUAACGGAGGGUUAGGGCUUGACCCCGGAGAAGGAGCCUGAGAGACGGCUACUACAUCCAAGGAAGGCAGCAGGCGCGCAAAUUACCCAAUCCCGACUCGGGGAGGUAGUGACAAUAAAUACUGAUCCAGGGCUCUUUUGGGUCUUGGAAUUGGAAUGAGUACAAUUUGAAUCCCUUAACGAGGAACAAUUGGAGGGCAAGUCUGGUGCCAGCAGCCGCGGUAAUUCCAGCUCCAAUAGCGUAUAUUAAAGUUGUUGAGGUUAAAAAGCUCGUAGUUGAACCUUGGCCCUGGCUGGCUGGUCCGCCUCACCGCGAGCACUGGUCCGGCCGGGGCUUUCCCUCUGGGGAUCCUCAUGCCCUUCACUGGG
rnacentral:rRNA from 1 species